rnacentral:rRNA from 1 species
UUCAUGCCGCGUGAGUGAAGAAGGCCUUCGGGUUGUAAAGCUCUUUUGUCAGGGAAGAAACAGCAGCUCUAACACAGCAUGCGAAUGACGGUACCUGAAGAAUAAGCACCGGCUAACUACGUGCCAGCAGCCGCGGUAAUACGUAGGGUGCAAGCGUUAAUCGGAAUUACUGGGCGUAAAGCGUGCGCAGGCGGUUAUACAAGACAGGUGUGAAAUCCCCGGGCUUAACCUGGGAAUGGCAUCUGUGACUGUAUAGCUAGAGUGUGUCAGAGGGGGGUAGAAUUCCACGUGUAGCAGUGAAAUGCGUAGAGAUGUGGAGGAAUACCAAUGGCGAAGGCAGCCCCCUGGGAUAACACUGACGCUCAUGCACGAAAGCGUGGGGAGCAAACAGGAUUAGAUACCCUGGUAGUCCACGCCCUAAACGAUGCUGACUAGUUGUUCGGGAAUUACUUCCUGAGUAACGUAGCUAACGCGUGAAGUCAGCCGCCUGGGGAGUACGGUCGCAAGAUUAAAACUCAAAGGAAUUGACGGGGACCCGCACAAGCGGUGGAUGAUGUGGAUUAAUUCGAUGCAACGCGAAAAACCUU